rnacentral:rRNA from 1 species
GCGACGAUCCCUAGUUGGUCUGAGAGGAUGACCAGCCACACUGGAACUGAGACACGGUCCAGACUCCUACGGGAGGCAGCAGUGGGGAAUAUUGCACAAUGGGCGCAAGCCUGAUGCAGCCAUGCCGCGUGUGUGAAGAAGGCCUUCGGGUUGUAAAGCACUUUCAGCGGGGAGGAAGGCGGUGAGGUUAAUAACCUUGUCGAUUGACGUUACCCGCAGAAGAAGCACCGGCUAACUCCGUGCCAGCAGCCGCGGUAAUACGGAGGGUGCAAGCGUUAAUCGGAAUUACUGGGCGUAAAGCGCACGCAGGCGGUCUGUCAAGUCGGAUGUGAAAUCCCCGGGCUCAACCUGGGAACUGCAUUCGAAACUGGCAGGCUAGA